CCUACGGGUGGCAGCAGUAGGGAAUCUUUCACAAUGGGCGAAAGCCUGAUGGAGCAACACCGCGUGCAGGAUGAAGGCCUUCGGGUUGUAAACUGCUUUUAUAAGCGAGAAAUAUGAUGGUAACUUAUGAAUAAGGAUCGGCUAACUACGUGCCAGCAGCCGCGGUCAUACGUAGGAUCCGAGCAUUAUCCGGAGUGACUUGGUGUAAAGAGUUGCGUAGGUGGCAUAAUAAGUAGCUAGUGAAAUCUGGUGGCUCAACCAUUCAGACUAUUAGCUAAACUGUUAAGCUCGAGACCGUUAGGGGUAACUGGAAUUUCUAGUGUAGGAGUGAAAUCCGUAGAUAUUAGAAGGAACACCAAUAGCGUAGGCAGGUUGCUGGGACGGUUCUGACACUAAGGCACGAAAGCGUAGGGAGCAAACGGGAUUAGAUACCCCUGUAGUC
rnacentral:rRNA from 1 species